GACGAACGCUGGCGGCGUGCCUAAUACAUGCAAGUCGAACGCACGGGGGACGGGGGAGUAACACGUGGGUAACCUCCCAUCAGAGGGGAUAAAACUUGGAAACAGGUGCUAAACAGAUAAUGAUGGAUGGACACGCGGUGCAUUGGCUAGUUGGUGAGGUAACGGCACACCAAGGCCACGAUGCAUAACCGUCCGUGGAGAGUGACCGGCAACAUGGGGCCGUGGCCCCGGCCCAGCCCCCUACGGGAGGCAGCAGUAGGGAAUCUUCGGCAAUGGACGAAAGCCUGCGCGAGAACCGCGGCGUAAGUGAAGAAGGUUUUCGGUUCGUAAACCUCUGUUGUUAGAGCAGCGGUACCUAACCAGAAAGCCACGGCUAACUACGUGCCAGCAGCCGCGGUAAUAC
rnacentral:rRNA from 1 species